rnacentral:rRNA from 1 species
GAUGAACGCUGGCGGCGUGCCUAAUACAUGCAAGUCGAGCGAACAGACGAGGAGCUUGCUCCUCUGACGUUAGCGGCGGACGGGUGAGUAACACGUGGAUAACCUACCUAUAAGACUGGGAUAACUUCGGGAAACCGGAGCUAAUACCGGAUAAUAUAUUGAACCGCAUGGUUCAAUAGUGAAAGACGGUUUUGCUGUCACUUAUAGAUGGAUCCGCGCCGCAUUAGCUAGUUGGUAAGGUAACGGCUUACCAAGGCAACGAUGCGUAGCCGACCUGAGAGGGUGAUCGGCCACACUGGAACUGAGACACGGUCCAGACUCCUACGGAGGCAGCAGUAGGGAAUCUUCCGCAAUGGGCGAAAGCCUGACGGAGCAACGCCGCGUGAGUGAUGAAGGUCUUCGGAUCGUAAAACUCUGUUAUUAGGGAAGAACAAAUGUGUAAGUAACUAUGCACGUCUUGACGGUACCUAAUCAGAAAGCCACGGCUAACUACGU